rnacentral:rRNA from 1 species
CGUGCCUAUACAUGCAGUCGAACGGGAGGCUUGGGAUAACUAUGCCGAGAGUGGCGCACGGGUGAGUAACACAUGGCUGACCUGCCCUCCAGAGGGGGAUAACGGCUGGAAACGGCCGCUAAUACCCCAUACGCUCCUUGAGGUUAGAGGCUUAGGGAGGAAAGCUGAGGUGCUGGAGGAGGGGGCUGUGGCCCAUCAGCUAGUUGGUAGGGUAAAGGCCUACCAAGGCGACGACGGGUAGGGGGCCUGAGAGGGUGACCCCCCACAAUGGAACUGAAACACGGUCCAUACACCUACGGGUGGCAGCAGUAGGGAAUAUUGGGGAAUGGGCGAAAGCCUGACCCAGCAACGCCGCGUGCGCGAAGAAAGCCUUCGGGUUGUAAAGCGCUUUUCUCAGGGAUGAGGAAGGACAGUACCUGAGGAAUAAGUCUCGGCUAACUACGUGCCAGCAGCCGCGGUAACACGUAGGAGACGAGCGUUAUCCGGAUUUACUGGGUGUAAAGCGCGUGUAGGCGGCGAGGUAAGUUGGAUGUGAAAGCUCCCGGCUUAACUGGGAGAGGUCGUUCAAGACUGCCUGGCUAGAGUGCAGCAGAGGGGAGUGGAAUUCCGAGUGUAGCGGUAAAAUGCAUAGAUAUUCGGAAGAACACCAGUGGCGAAGGCGGCUCUCUGGGCUGCAACUGACGCUCAGACGCGAAAGCUAGGGGAGCGAACGUGAUUAGAGACCCCGGUAGUCCUAGCCGUAAACGAUGUGAACUAGGCGUAGGCGGGUUGAAAUCCGUCUGUGCCGGAGCGAACGCGAUAAGUUCACCACCUGGGGACUACGGCCGCAAGGUUAAAACUCAAAGGAAUUGACGGGGGCCCGCACAAGCAGCGGAGCGUGUGGUUUAAUUCGAUGCUACACGAAGAACCUUACCAGGGUUUGACAUGCAAGUGGUAGUGAAGCGAAAGCGGAGCGACCCUUCGGGGAGCUUGCACAGGUGUUGCAUGGCUGUCGUCAGCUCGUGUCGUGAGAUGUUCGGUUAAGUCCGCUAACGAGCGCAACCCAUGCCGUGUGUUACAAGUGUCACACGGGACUGCCGGUCUUAAGCCGGAGGAAGGUGUGGAUGACGCCAAGUCAGCAUGACCUAUAUAUCCUGGGCUACACACACGCUACAAUGGCCGGUACAAUGGGUCGCGAAACCGCGAGGUGGAGCCAAUCCAGAAAGCCGGUCUCAGUUCAGAUUGCAGUCUGCAACCCGACUGCAUGGAGACGGAGUUGCUAUAACCGCAGGUCAGCC